rnacentral:rRNA from 1 species
GAUGAACGCUGGCGGCGUGCCUAAUACAUGCAAGUAGAACGCUGAAGCUUGGUGCUUGCACCGAGCGGAUGAGUUGCGAACGGGUGAGUAACGCGUAGGUAACCUGCCUCUUAGCGGGGGAUAACUAUUGGAAACGAUAGCUAAUACCGCAUAAAAGUCGACAUUGCAUGAUGUUGACUUGAAAGGUGCAAAUGCAUCACUAAGAGAUGGACCUGCGUUGUAUUAGCUAGUUGGUGAGGUAACGGCUCACCAAGGCGACGAUACAUAGCCGACCUGAGAGGGUGAUCGGCCACACUGGGACUGAGACACGGCCCAGACUCCUACGGGAGGCAGCAGUAGGGAAUCUUCGGCAAUGGGGCAACCCUGACCGAGCAACGCCGCGUGAGUGAAGAAGGUUUUCGGAUCGUAAAGCUCUGUUGUAAGAGAAGAACGAGUGUGAGAGUGGAAAGUUCACACUGUGACGGUAACUUACCAGAAAGGGACGGCUAACUACGUGCCAGCAGCCGCGGUAAUACGUAGGUCCCGAGCGUUAUCCGGAUUUAUUGGGCGUAAAGCGAGCGCAGGCGGUUAGAUAAGUCUGAAGUUAAAGGCUGUGGCUUAACCAUAGUACGCUUUGGAAACUGUUUAACUUGAGUGCAGAAGGGGAGAGUGGAAUUCCAUGUGUAGCGGUGAAAUGCGUAGAUAUAUGGAGGAACACCGGUGGCGAAAGCGGCUCUCUGGUCUGUAACUGACGCUGAGGCUCGAAAGCGUGGGGAGCAAACAGG